GCAGCCUGCAACUCGGCUGCAUGAAGCUGGAAUCGCUAGUAAUCGCGGAUCAGAAUGCCGCGGUGAAUACGUUCCCGGGUCUUGUACACACCGCCCGUCACACCAUGGGAGCCGGGAAUGCCCGAAGUCAGUGGCCCAACCGCAGGGAGGGAGCUGCCGAAGGCAGGCCCGGUGACUGGGGUGAAGUCGUAACAAGGUAGC
rnacentral:rRNA from 1 species